rnacentral:tRNA from 1 species
UUAGCUCAGAUGGUAGAGCAAUGGACUGAAAAUCCAUGUGUCCCUGGUUCGAUCCCUGGA